GAUAAGAACGUAGCGAAAUGCGAUAAGUAAUGUGAAUUGCAGAAUUCAGUGAAUCAUCGAAUCUUUGAACGCACAUUGCGCCCCUUGGUAUUCCGAGGGGCAUGCCUGUUCGAGCGUCAUUACACCACACAAGCUAUGCUUGGUAUUGGGCGUCGUCCUUAGUUGGGCGCGCCUUAAAGACCUCGGCGAGGCCACUCCGGCUUUAGGCGUAGUAGAAUUUAUUCGAACGUCUGUCAAAGGAGAGGAACUCUGCCGACUGAAACCUUUAUUUUUCUAGGUUGACCUCGGAUCAGGUAGGGAUACCCGCUGAACUUAAGCAUAUCAAUAAGCGGAGGA
rnacentral:misc_RNA from 1 species